rnacentral:lncRNA from 13 species
UGGAUUUUGUCAAAGAUUUUUUUCUGUAUUUAUUGAUGGGAUUAUGUUCCUUUUUUUCUUUAGCCUAUUCUUAUGACGGAUUCUGCUAAUUGAUUUUUGAGUGCUGAAUGAUUCUUACAUCGGUGGGAUGCCCCUCUUGUUGAUGACGGAGUUUCACUCUUGUUACCCAGGCUGGAGUGCAAUGGCGCGAUCUCGGCUCGGCGCGAUCUCGGCUCACCGCAACCUCCGCCUCCUGUGUUUCCCUAUGUUUUCUAAUGGCAAUACAGUAAUAGUAUAAAUUUGGGGAUACUGAUUUAGUAUGCUGCCAACUUGCUAAACUUCCUUAUUGGUUCCAUUAAUUUCUUUGUAUAUUAUUUUGGAUUUUCUGCUUACCCAGUCAUAUCAUCUGUGAGAAAACAAUUUUAUUUUUUCCAUUACAAUUUUCUCUAUUGAACUCACUUCCAGUAAAAUAUUAAAUAGAAGUAGUAGAAACAACCAUAUUUGUCUUAUUUCCAACUUUAGAGACAAAGCAUUACGUGUUACAACACAUCGUAUGAUGUUAGCUAUGGAGUUUUUUGCAAUUAUUCCUUAUGAGGCUAUUUCCUAUUUCUAGUUUACUGAGAGUUUUGUCAUGAGUAGGUGGUAAACUUUGUAAAAUACAAUUUCCCUACCACUUCUAAGAUAAUCAUAUAUGUUUUCUUCUAAAAUAUGUUAAUUGAUGAUAAUAUGGAUCUUUAAAUGUUAAACCAAUCACUUUGUAAUGCCAAAUAA